GCCCGCAUAGCUCAGUCGGUAGAGCGCGUUCUUGGUAAGAACGAGGUCUUCAGUUCAAAUCUGAAUGCGGGCUCCA
rnacentral:tRNA from 1 species